rnacentral:rRNA from 1 species
GACGAACGCUGGCGGCGUGCCUAAUACAUGCAAGUAGAACGCACAGGUUAUACCGUAGCUUGCUACACCAUAGACUGUGAGUUGCGAACGGGGGAGUAACGCGUAGGUAACCUGCCUGGUAGCGGGGGAUAACUAUUGGAAACGAUAGCUAAUACCGCAUAAUAUUAAUUAUUGCAUGGUAAUUAAUUGAAAGUUGCAAUUGCACCACUACCAGAUGGACCUGCGUUGUAUUAGCUAGUAGGUGAGGCAACGGCUCACCUAGGCGACGAUACAUAGCCGACCUGAGAGGGUGAUCGGCCACACUGGGACUGAGACACGGCCCAGAAUCCUACGGGAGGCAGCAGUAGGGAAUCUUCGGGCAUGGACGAAAGUCUGACCGAGAAACGCCGAGUGAGGGAAGAAGGUUUUCGGAUCGUAGAGCUCGGUUGUAAGAGAAGAACGGGUGUGAGAGUGGAAAGUUCACACUGUGACGGUAUCUUACCAGAAAGGGACGGCUAACUACGUG